UGAGUAACACGUAUCCAACCUGCCGUCUACUCUUGGCCAGCCUUCUGAAAGGAAGAUUAAUCCAGGAUGGCAUCAUGAGUUCACAUGUCCGCAUGAUUAAAGGUAUUUUCCGGUAGACGAUGGGGAUGCGUUCCAUUAGAUAGUAGGCGGGGUAACGGCCCACCUAGUCAACGAUGGAUAGGGGCUCUGAGAGGAAGGUCCCCCACAUUGGAACUGAGACACGGUCCAA
rnacentral:rRNA from 1 species